UCCGCAGUGGUCGCCGCAUUUCGCAUCAAUCUUUCGCCUUUUACUAAAGAUUGCCGUGCGGCGUCCGCAUUCAAUGCACAUUUAACAAUUUUUCUGGUGCUCCGGCGCCU
rnacentral:snRNA from 1 species